AGUAACUCCUGGAAGGCUGGCCAUGUAUGCCAAGACAGAGAAGAAAGACUUGAUGACCCUUGUUCUUUCAGCGUGGAAAAUGAAAAGUAUGCCAAUCACUGGUGCGCCUUGCUACGACAGCCAAAUAGUACCUUUGCAGAGUGCCAUUCUGUGGUGGAUCCUGAGAUUUACUACAAGCGAUGUACUUAUGCUAGCUGUAACUGUGAGAAGAGCGAGGACUGCCUGUGUGCUGUUUUCUCCUCCUACGCCAGAGCUUGUGCAUCAAAGGGAGUGUUCUUGACAGACUGGAGAGAUAAUGUGUGCGACAAAUACACCAAGAACUGCCCAGAAUCUCAGACCUUCUCUUACAAACAUCAGAGAUGCCAGCUGACUUGCAGAUCUUUGAGCUUAAACCAGCAGAGCUGCACCUCUGAUUUCUUGCCUGUGGAUGGCUGUUCCUGCGCUGAGGGUCACUACCUAGAUGACAAUGGCAUCUGUGUCC
ensembl:lncRNA